rnacentral:tRNA from 1 species
AAAAAGGGAUGGGAAUCGAACCCACAGUGUUCCGCUUACCAGGCAGAUGCCAUGUCCACUAGGCUACCCUGGACAUAUU